UACGUAGGUGGCAAGCGUUGUCCGGAAUUACUGGGUGUAAAGCGCGUGUAGGCGGCAGACCAAGUCGGCGGUGAAGGCGCCCGGCUCAACUGGGCGAGGUCCGUGGAAACUGGUCAGCUGGAGGACGGUAGAGGCGAGUGGAAUUCCCGGUGUAGUGGUGAAAUGCGUAGAGAUCGGGAGGAACACCUGUGGCGAAGGCGGCUCGCUGGGCCGGUCCUGACGCUGAGACGCGAAGGCGUGGGGAGCGAACGGA
rnacentral:rRNA from 1 species